CCGCUCAAAAACAAAAUUAUUUUCACAAAUAGCAACACUAAUUUUAUAAUUAUAAUUUUAUCCUUAUUUCUGCCACGUAGGCGACACAUUAGCACCACGCGAGUAGAGAUGGUAGAUAAAGAAUAAGUUGACACAGUGAAUAGUUCAUCGUAUUUAGUGUAUAUUAUAUUACUUGCGCGUGGGGUCAAUAUAUUCACUGAACACGAUGAAUGGAUUAUCGUUUUCAACUUAUUCCACAUCCUACAUUCCUGCUCGU
rnacentral:lncRNA from 1 species